rnacentral:misc_RNA from 1 species
GAUGAAGAACGCAGCGAAAUGCGAUAAGUAAUGUGAAUUGCAGAAUUCAGUGAAUCAUCGAAUCUUUGAACGCACAUUGCGCCCAUUAGUAUUCUAGUGGGCAUGUCUGUUCGAGCGUCAUUUCAACCCUUAAGCCUAGCUUAGUAUUGGGAAUCGACUUUACUGUCGUUCCUCAAAUUCAACGGCGGAUUUAUAGCAAUCUCUGAACGUAGUAAUUUUUUUUCUCGUUUUUGAAAUACUAUAAACCUCAGCCGCUAAACCCCCAAUUUCUUAUGGUUGACCUCGGAUCAGGUAGGAAUACCCGCUGAACUUAAGCAUAUCAAUAAGCGGAGGA